GUGCUGCAACAAGAGACACACCACUGAGCAAACUCCAACGGACCAAUCGAAUCUCAUGAAAAAUUACAAAUCGAAGGCUUGAAUGCACUCUUAUCUUCUGAUGUGACAAAACGAGAUGAGUUGGACAACACUCAAUAUGGAAGAGACAUCUCCUUUUGACACAUGAAAUAAAUAAGGCACUGAGGCAGAGAAGGCUGUUUUGGAGUGAUUAAGACAUAGUGAAACGGACACUGGACAGCUAUGCAACAGGUUCAGAUUUUUAGACAGGUAGGAUAGCCUUGCGAAACAUAUCUUUGAUGAUGACUGUGACGAAGAAGAUGACAGUCACCAAGCCGGAGUGUCUACUAGAAGCUUUCAAUAAAAAAUUCAAAUUCUAAAACUUUA